AGGAGACGGUGACGUUGAAGGACAUGACUGUGGUCUUCAGCGAGGAAGAACUGGGGCUGCUGGAUGCUGCCCAGAGGAAGCUGUGACGUGAUGCUGGAGAGCCUGAGGAAUGUGGCAUCCCUGGGGCAUCGGAUCGGGACUCCAGAUGGUUUGCUCAGGCUCAAGAGAGAAGACAUGUUUUGGCUGUUGACAGUGGCUCGCUGGAGCAGUGGGUCUAUGGGUGAGGACAGUGCAGCAGCUCGCCCGCCUUGCUUCUUAACCUGGGGAUGGGUUUGGGGCUGGGGUGGGCCAGGGCUCUGGUCCGCCCCCACCGUCAGCAUCCAUCUCCACAUGUACUGACUCCCAUGACGCUUGGUCACAUCAUCACCGCUGGCCUGCCUAGGCCUGCCAUCUUCCCAAGUGACGACAUGGAGACAUGUUAAUUAUGGAAUCCUAUGCAGUAGCGUACUCAUUCCCACCUAGCUUGUGUAACUUAAAUUAACCCACUUAUGUGUAUCUACACUGUGUUGCAUGAAUGAUGCUACUUGGUAAUGGAUACCUUGAUAGUGUGGUACAAUUAACUUAUUCUGUGUCUGGUUGGUGAGGCCUCCCACCUGACUCUUUCCCAGAAUUCCCAUCUCUGCCCAGAAGUCCCGCCUAUCCUCUCCUGCCUAGCUAUAGGCCAUCAGAUCUUUAAUAAACCAAUUGGAAGAUGCCUUCAGUAGAUGAGGAAGGACAGAGAACAGCUUCGCAUGGUGCACAAAAAGAUUUCACAACAUAUUAUACUAUUCCUUUACAUCUGGAUGGUUCCUUGUGGAUAUGUACACAGGCGCAUGCAUACGUGUGUGUGUGUGUGUGUGUGUGUGUAUACGUGUGUGUAUGUACUCAAUAGAUCAAUAUUUUCUUCUUUAGUUACUUUCCAACUUUAAUGUUUAAAAAGUUAUAUUUAUUUAUGUGUAUGGGGAGCACACAUAUUGCAGUGUUGCUCACUUGUGAUAAUUUGUAAAACUCUAAACUGGUCUCAUUAAUAUAAGUAUGGGAGCUUGCAGCACUGACCUUGGCUUCUGGGCGUGUCGGUGAGAUGACAGGAUACUUAGUGUUAAAGGAAGGGAGCCAUUUGUUCUCUGGUUCAGUGAAAUCUUCGGCUGUGGUCUUAACUGUAUCACUCCAGCAUCAGGCAACAGAGCAUUCACACGCCCUGCCUGCCUCUCUCUGAAUUCUCUUUAUGCUUUUAGGAGACAAGAAUCUAGAGGACAUGGAGUUUCUCGAGGAGGUGGGACUGAGGCACCUGCCACAUGAGGAGCUUUUCUGCUCACAGAUCUGGCAGCGAAUUACAAGGGAGUUAACCAAGGUUCGAGACUGCAGAGUACGUGUCGGAGAAAAUGGCUCUCCGAUGAAACGAGACAAUCGUGAAGACGAGUACAGCAAACAUUCCAGUCAAAAUUCAGUCUUUCAGGUUCACCACAGGGAAUGCCAUGAAGAAGAGGCAAAUGAGAGAGAUUUUGGUUGCAGCCACCAUCUUCGUACCAGUACAGGAGAAAAGUCCUACAAGUGUGAAAAAUGUCACAACGCCUCCCAUUGGUUCUCAAGCCUUCAGUCCCAUCAGGGAGUGUGUGAUAGACCCAGAUGGAACAAGUCUGUGUCACAGUUUAAAAUUUUC
rnacentral:lncRNA from 1 species